rnacentral:rRNA from 1 species
CUGUCGGCGUGCCUAAUACAUGCAAGUAGAACGCUGAAGACUUUAUCUUGCUAAAGGUGGAAGAGUUGCGAACGGGUGAGUAACGCGUAUGUAACCUGCCUACUAUUCGGGGGAUAUCUAUUGGAAACGAUAUCUAAUACCGCAUAACACCCUUGAACCCAUGUGAGAUGCUUGAAAGGACCAAUUGCUUCACUAGUAUAUGGACCUGCGUUGUAUUAGCUAGUUGGUGAGGUAACGGCUCACCAAGGCGACAAUCCAUAUCCGACCUGAAAGGGUGAUCGGCCACACUGGAACUGACACACAGCCCAAACUCCUACGGGAGGCAGCAAUAUGGAAUCUUCGGCAAUGGGGGCAACCCUGACCGACCAACGCCGCGUGACUGAAUAAGGUUUUCGGAUCGUAAAGCUCUGUUGCAAGACAAGAACGAGUGUGAGAGUGGAAAGUUCACACAGUGACGGUAACUUACCAGAAAGGGACGGCUAACUACGUGCCAGCAGCCGCGGUAAUACGUAGGUCCCGAGCGUUGUCCGGAUUUAUUGGGCGUAAAGCGAGCGCACGCGGUUUAAUAACUCUGAAGUUAAAGGCAGAGGCUUAGCCAUUGUUCGCUUUGGAAACUGUUAAACUUGAGUGCAGAAGGGGAGAGUGGAAUUCCUUGUGUAGCGCUGAAAUGCGUAAAUGUAUGUAUGAACACCUGCGGCGAAAGCGACUCUCUGGUCUGUAACUGACGCUGAGGCUCGAAAGCGUGAGGAGCAAACAGGAUUAGAUACCCUGGUAGUCCACGCCGUAAGUGAUGAGUGCUAGGUGUGUGCCCCUCUCCGGGGCUUAGUGCUGCAGCUAACGCAUUAAGCACUCCGCGUGGAGAGUACGAGCGCAAGGUUGAAUCUCAAAGGAAUUGACGGGGGCCCGCACAAGCGGGGGAGCAUGUGGUUUAAUUAGAAGCAACGUGAAGAACCUUAUCAGGUCUUGACAUAUCCGAUGCUAUUCCUAGAGAUAGGAAGUUUCUUGGGAACAUUGGUGACAGGUGGUGCAUGGUUGUUGUCAGCUCGUGUCGUGAGAUGUUGGGUUAAGUCCCGCAACGAGCGCAACCCCUAUUGUUAGUUCCCAUCAUUAAGUUGGGCACUCUAGCGAGACUGCCGGUAAUAAAUCGGAGGAAGGUGGGGAUGACGUCAAAUCAUCAUGCCCCUUAUGUCCUGGGCUUCACACGUGCUACAAUGGUUGGUACAGCGAGUCGCGAGUCGGUGACGGCAAGCAAAUCUCUUAAAGCCAAUCUCAGUUCGGAUUGUAGUCUGCAACUCGCCUUCAUGAAGUCGGAAUCGCUAGUAAUCGCGGAUCAGCACGCCGCGGUGAAUUCGUUUCCGGGCCUUGUUCCCCCCCCCCGUCCCACCCCGAGAGUUUGUAACCCCCGAAGUCGGUGAGGUAACCUUUUAGGAGCCAGCCGCCUAAGGUGGGAUAGAUGAUUGGGGUGAAGU